rnacentral:tRNA from 1 species
UAGAAAGUGGUGUAGAGGAUGCACGAGGAGUUUUGAUCUCUUUAGGUUGGGUUCAAAUCCCAUCUUUUUAA